UACGGGGGGGGCAAGCGUUUGUUCGGAAUUACUGGGCGUAAAGGGGUGCGUAGGCGGUUCGCUAAGUUGGAUGUGAAAACUCUGGGCUCAACCCAGAGCCUGCAUCCAAUACUGACGAGCUAGAGUUCUGGAGGGGAUAGCGGAAUUCCUGGUGUAGCGGUGAAAUGACGUAGAUAUCAGGAGGAACACCGGUGGCGAAGGCGGCUAUCUGGACAGAGUCUGACGCUGAGGCACGAAGGCCAGGGGAGCAAACGGGG
rnacentral:rRNA from 1 species